CUGAUGGAGGGGGAUAACUACUGGAAACGGUAGCUAAUACCGCAUAACGUCUACGGACCAAAGUGGGGGACCUUCGGGCCUCACGCCAUCAGAUGUGCCCAGAUGGGAUUAGCUAGUAGGUGGGGUAAUGGCUCACCUAGGCGACGAUCCCUAGCUGGUCUGAGAGGAUGACCAGCCACACUGGAACUGAGACACGGUCCAGACUCCUACGGGAGGCAGCAGUGGGGAAUAUUGCACAAUGGGCGCAAGCCUGAUGCAGCCAUGCCGCGUGUGUGAAGAAGGCCUUAGGGUUGUAAAGCACUUUCAGCGAGGAGGAAGGGUAGUGUGUUAAUAGCACAUUGCAUUGACGUUACUCGCAGAAGAAGCACCGGCUAACUCCGUGCCAGCAGCCGCGGUAAUACGGAGGGUGCAAGCGUUAAUCGGAAUUACUGGGCGUAAAGCGCACGCAGGCGGUUUGUUAAGUCAGAUGUGAAAUCCCCGCGCUUAACGUGGGAACUGCA
rnacentral:rRNA from 1 species